rnacentral:rRNA from 1 species
GCUCAGAUUCAACGCCGGCGGCGCGCCUAACACAUGCAAGUCGAGCGAGAAAGGGGGGCAACUCCUGAGUACAGCGGCGUACGGGUGAGUAACACGUGGAUAAUCUACCUCUUAGUGGGGAAUAACGAUGGGAAACCGUCGCUAAUACCGCAUAAGCCUGAGAAGGGAAAGCAGCAAUGCGCUGAGAGAGGAGUCCGCGGCCGAUUAGCUAGUUGGUGAGGUAACGGCCCACCAAGGCAAAGAUCGGUAGCCGGCCUGAGAGGGCACACGGCCACACUGGCACUGAAACACGGGCCAGACUCCUACGGGAGGCAGCAGUGGGGAAUCUUGCACAAUGGGGGAAACCCUGAUGCAGCGACGCCGCGUGAGCGAUGAAGCCCUUCGGGGUGUAAAGCUCUUUCGGCAGGGAAGAUUAUGACGGUACCUGCAGAAGCAGCUGCGGCUAACUACGUGCCAGCAGCCGCGGUAAUACGUAGGCAGCGAGCGUUGUUCGGAGUUACUGGGCGUAAAGGGUGUGUAGGCGGUUCUUCAAGUUUGGUGUGAAAUCUCCCGGCUCAACUGGGAGGGUGCGCCGAAUACUGAGGGACUAGAGUACGGGAGAGGAAAGUGGAAUUCCUGGUGUAGCGGUGAAAUGCGUAGAUAUCAGGAGGAACACCGGUGGUGUAAACGGCUUUCUGGACCGUAACUGACGCUGAGACACGAAAGCGUGGGUAGCAAACAGGAUUAGAUACCCUGGUAGUCCACGCCCUAAACGAUGCAUAUUUGGUGUGGGUCAUUCAGUUGAUCCGUGCCGGAGCUAACGCGUUAAAUAUGCCGCCUGGGGAGUACAGUCGCAAGGCUGAAACUCAAAU